ACUGGCGGAUGAAAAUGUGAACAAAUUUAAUGGGAGUACUGCUUUGCCCUUCACCUGAACGUCACUGAACAUCAGUGAGGGGCAUCAGCGCAAUGGAUCGUAAAAACGGAGGGUUUCAUUGUCAGUGACGUGAAUCAAUCCAAAUGAAGGUCAAGGAUACUAAACACUCGUUCAAGUGCGCAAAACAAUCUAAAUAAACCUUUUUACAAUUCUUAACGUCAUCCACUUCAGGAAUACAUUUCCAAUUUUGGCCUACAUUUUAAAAGACGAUAAAUCCGAUAUUAUUUUUCCUAAGCAAAUGAUGUGCACUUAAGAAGAAUAAAAACCUACAAACCCAAAAAAAUCAAAACAUAAGAAAAAGAAAACAACUUAGUGAGGUUAGUGUCAGGUUCGAGCUGAUUCCAUCUCUCUGUGAAGCAGAACAGCUCAUUUAAAAGUGUCUCUGUAUUAAUCACAGCGCUGCAUCAAAGUAUGAUAAUCACCUGAACACUCUAUUAAAAUAAAAGUGGCAGCCCAGGGGAAAUCUUACCUUGCUCUUUAAUUGUUUUGAGUCUUUGAUAGGCUUUUUAAUCUAAGAUUAAUUUAUGCAUUCUUAAAUAACCCUACAUAUGAUUAAUAAGCUUGAAAAUUAAAAGGAGACUGAAGCAAUUAUAACAAGUGGUUGGUCAUCACCUCAUUAGAUGGUGUUAGAAUGAUGCAGUUGUGAGUGUGAAUGUUUUCCUGAUUGGGUGUGACAAUAAUCAGGAGGCUUUUUUUUAAGGAAAAUGUGCUGCAGGCUAAUUAUUCUGGAUCUUUCCUGUUUGCUUUCAUGUCGUAAUGAGUCAGGAUGCAGGAUUUGUCACUUAUGGCUGAUCAGAGGCAAGAAUGGACGGCACAGGUGACUCUAAGAUGUCGAAGCACAACUGGAAGAGGAAGAUCAGCUGUUUGAGAGGCCACAGGAGAGGUGUUGAGAAAACAGUAAGACUUGCUAAAUGGUUGCUAAUGCGUAAACAAGACAUCACCCCUCUCCUGCUUGGAUGUUUAUUUGUCUCCUAAAAGCCCACCCCUGGGUCUUGACCCCCACAUCGUGCACCGCUAAACGGAACAUUUCAUCUUCCAAGGAGGUGGAGUGUAGCGGGUUAGUGUGUGUGCAUGUAUGUGUGUGAGAGAAAGAGAGAAAAGCGAAAAGGAGUGAAAGUGAGAGAGAGAGCGAGAGAGAGGGGUGGGGUGGGGUACAUCACUGCAUCAAAUGAGACUGAGCACAGGGACCCUUUUGUCACAGAGCGGGACUCAUCUGCCAAUGGUGAGCUGUGAGGUCCUGGGGGAAGGCCGGAACAAAGGUGCUAAAAGGAUGCGUGACAAUGAGGGUGCUCCGAGGAGAGCCUUCAAGAGUGGGACAGAGGCUGCACGGGACAAGCUGUGCCAAUCACUCUGCAAUUAUUACUAUUUGUAAGUGUAUGUGUGAGUCUCUGUGUGUGCUAUCCAGGGGCCUUGUGUGGGCAUUCAUGGAGAGGAGCAAGGACACAUGCUGUCGUGUUUCUCUGAGCUUUCCUUGUAAUGCAGAGCUGAACUGAAGCUCUUCAAGGCAGUAAUCUGGAGGUCUUCCAGUGUGCUCUUCCGUCUCCCUGAUGCUGUUUGCUCAACCAACAAACCUCUGAGGCCCUCACAACAGCUGCAUUUAUAAUGAGAUUAAACUAUGCACAGAUGGACUCCAUUUAUUAUGCAACUGUUAAAGGCUAUAGGUUUUUAUUUAGAGAUGUCAGAGUAAAAGGGGUGAUUUGAAACAUGGACCACACUGUUCAGAAUUUUCUGUGUAAAAAAAGUGUGAAAGUGUCAUUCUUCUUCCCCUUUACUACAAUGUUGGUAUUCCAUAAAUAAGCUACAAAAUCCGCUAAAGUUUGUGCAUGUAACGUGAACAAAUGUGAGAAUUUGUAUUAACUAUUUUUAAGUAAUUCUUGAUUGCUAAAAGCAUCUCUUAAACUUAUUUUUGUCAUUCUUGCUGCUUUUAUAUGGUGGGGAUGUAAAUUUUGCGUGUGCGACAGUGCAAUAAAAGGAAGCUGUAGAAA